GUGAACGCUGGCGGUAGGCCUAACACAUGCAAGUCGAACGGCAGCACCGUAAGAGCUUGCUCUUACGGGUGGCGAGUGGCGGACGGGGGAGGAAUACAUCGGAAUCUACUUUUUCGUGGGGGAUAACGUAGGGAAACUUACGCUAAUACCGCAUACGACCUACGGGUGAAAGCAGGGGAUCUUCGGACCUUGCGCGAUUGAAUGAGCCGAUGUCGGAUUAGCUAGUUGGCGGGGUAAAGGCCCACCAAGGCGACGAUCCGUAGCUGGUCUGAGAGGAUGAUCAGCCACACUGGAACUGAGACACGGUCCAGACUCCUACGGGAGGCAGCAGUGGGGAAUAUUGGACAAUGGGCGCAAGCCUGAUCCAGCCAUACCGCGUGGGUGAAGAAGGCCUUCGGGUUGUAAAGCCCUUUUGUUGGGAAAGAAAAGCAGCAGGUUAAUACCCCGCUGUUCUGACGGUACCCAAAGAAUAAGCACCGGCUAACUUCGUG
rnacentral:rRNA from 1 species